rnacentral:lncRNA from 1 species
AGCCUCCGUCUUGGUAAUGACAAAUAGAUCCCUAGCGGUUGUUCUGACAUGUGAUUAACCGAAUCAGCUACGUAGCCCUCUUUCACAGGGGAGGUGUGGCGGCAUAGCCUGCUUCCAGAAAGUCAUUCAUGUUGAAGGUGGUCGCCCAUUUACUGAGUUUUAAGCACUUCUUCUUAUAUGCUCACUUCGAUGCUCGAUUUUUGCCUUGCUUCGGGCCCUCGCCCGGAUAAAGCUGGAGACAUAGCAGACAUGUCCCAAGCAGAACGACCAUCCCGGAAACCACAGGUGGCGUGUAAGACUGGUUCCCGAACAGAAUUAGUCGAAAGCGAAAAUAGAGAGUCCCAGAAAGAGAAAGAAAGGGUGAGGAAGGAAAAAGGGGCCCAUCGACUGGGUAAACAGAGUCUCGAAAUCAAAAUGAGAAUCGUCGAGGCUAUCCUGCAUCCCCUACGUCUUUCAAAAAGAAUGACCCUAUUAGGUCUUAAAAAAUCCUGCCUUCUUGGCUUGUUUCAUUCCAUUCUUAUUCCAUCCAUUUCUCUAAAUAAACUCAAAAUAUAAUAAUAAUAAUAAUAGAAGCAAAAACAGAAUUCAACUUUUGAUGCUUAACAAACCCAUUUCGGAGAGCAUCUGCCUGGUCCUUACCAGUGAUGAGUGCCAAAAUUGCUUAAAUAAAACGACAUCAUCAGGUUCAUUCGCACGUCACAUCCACGGUACAAAGGUUCUCCUUUUUUAAAUGCCAUCGAAAGUGUCAUGUGGCUUUCAUUCGGGUCGAAUCAUUGAAAGUCGAUCUUUUUUUGGUCUUUCUUGAACACUCCUUGAGGAAAAGGCCCCUAGCUUUGGUUCAUACAUGUUUCUAUAUGAUAGAAAAUCUUUUAUGUUUAGCAGUCAUUCUUAGAAGUUCGUUUGAGAACGGUCGAGACCCUCGCGGGCAUCCUGUAGGUUCACCACUGGACUUGUUCAAACCUUGGUCUAUGGCAGCGGUGGUAGGAGUUGCAUAACUUGCAUCGUGAUUCCCGAUACUCCUCGUCGAAUAAAGGGCGAGCUCCGUGCGUGAGCAGCGACUAAGCUUAAUCCAAUCUUUCUUAACAAGAAUUUUGUACGCUUGAAGGCCCAUUCUCUACGGCAGGGUACAGAGACGAGGCCUUUGAUCCACCUCUUUGUUACAUAAAAAAAUGCAAAUCAAUCGGUCGAAUAACAAUUCUUUCUAGUAGCACCCACGACAGAAUGUCCGGAAUAUACAUCUUUUUUUGGGACGGAGGCACGCAUGCUAAAAAAAAACAUCAACUUGGAAGCGCCAUAAUAAAGAAAAAGAAAGAAUACGCCAGCAGAGGACCCUGCUCGAAAUCCUUUUUUCAGGUUUUCCCUUAAGAGAAGUCUCGGAUCAGGACUUGUUUCAAUAGCCUUUCGGAGGAGUGAACCAUCAGGCAGAAUGGAUACCGAGUUCGGGAGGCAGGUCAUAGCUUUCGAGCGAGACAACUCAUCAACGAUUGGUGCAGGAUUGACCACUCAGCUAUCCAAGUUACGUAAAAGACACAUUUUUAAGUUUUUCCCUGCCUCAUGAGGGCAAACUUUGAGUCCCAAACUUUUUGUCUGAAGCAAAUGCUGAAAGUCCAAGAUGAUGGUUUUGAACAUCCAAGAUGACACCCGAUCCACGCUCUCUUCCCUUGGUAAAGAGGAAUUCUAAAUCUAAAUCAAUCAUUUGAUCAAAUAAAAAAAGUACUUGGGCCUUAGAGGCAGCGGCUGGGAAAGCGAAGGGAAUAGGAAGACCUGGAACGAAGUCACUCGACUAAAAGAAGGUCUUAUUUGAGUUCAAAGCGAGGAGCCAGAGACAGAUUGCAAUUGCAAAAGCCAACUCUAAGAAGCAGCUUUACUUUAAAGAGGAGCAAAAGCAAAGGAGAGAAAAAAAAGGGGAGCUUAACAUAUAAAUCGGUUACACACUAAAGUAAAGGAAAGAUAGAUUCUAGUUAGCCUACCUGACUACACAAGAUAUUCUACAUGUGGUUAACAAAAGAGUCACUGGUUAUUGGCCUCAAGGCAAAGACGAGCUGGCUAAACUCUUAUCGAAAUUGCGUAUAGAAAGAAAGAGAGAUUCGUCUUGCUUCUUUGGAUUGAAGUGCGCGGUAAAUGCUUUUGACUGAACCUCCCAUUGCUCUCUCCGAUAGCAUGCAGCCGGGAGACAGAGAUAUAAAAAGUGUGCAGUGGGGGUGGUUGUAAAUCACUAGGUAGCCAGUCUUUACUUAACUCAGCCCAAGCUUGACUUAGCUCAAGCAAUGCCCAAAGACUCCCAUGCCUUUCUUGGUCGGACCAACCCAACCGGCUAUUUCCGACAAGUCUCUCUUUUUAGAACGAGAAGCGGAACUACAAUAAUUUCUUUUUUACGAUGUCGCCGACAGAAAUAGGCACCUACGUAAGUAGCUUGGGACUGUGCAAAUCUAUCAGUACUUUGAUUUUUAUCCGAGCCGCAUGGAUUCCUGAUCUAGAUCAAACUAAUUACCGCGAAAAGAUUUCUGAGAUUGGUGCCGAGACUCUCAGGGGACAACUCUCUGAUAGAUUCGAAUUUCUACUCAAAGAGAAGGGACUUCAACACUUGCCUGAAGGCUAUACAAUUCCGUACGUGAUGAAUCAGGUCCAUAACAACAACAAGACCAAUGAUAUACCCACACUAAAGGGAAUCUGGGAAAAUGUGAAUAUCUAUGGGCUUCAUAGUCAAUAUUAUCAAGAAGCGCUCGACAUAAUGGAUGAUUUGUGGGGCGCGAGAACCCACAGCCCCCUUGAGCAAUUUUCCAUUCUCCCAUUGAUUCCUAUGAAUAUAGGAAACUUGUAUUUCUCAUUCACAAAUCCAUCUUUGUUUAUGCUGCUAACUCUCAGUUUGGUCCUACUUCUGGUUCAUUUUGUUACUAAAAACGGAGGAGGAAACCCAGUACCAAAUGCUUGGCAAUCCUUGGUAGAGUUUAUUCAUGAUUUCGUGUCGAACCCGGUAAACGAACAAAUUGGUGGUCUUUCCGGAAAUGUUAAACAAAAGUUUUUCCCUCGCAUCUCGGUCACUUUUACUUUUUCGUUAUUUCGUAAU